AUACCCGAUAUUCGUUAUAAGCAUAUAUAUUCACUAAACGCACAUAUUGGUAACAUAUAAUUUAUACAUCCUUCGCAAUAUCAAAUAAUUUGUUAAUCUGUGUUCGUUAUAUCGAGCUUAGCCUGUGCUGGGACAAAGGAGUGACAGAGAAAUUUCUUUUUUUUUUCUCUUCUGAAUGUAGAGAUCGACCCGAGUUAAAGCUCCUAUAGCUUGCUAGUCUGCACAGAGGGAGUGACAAAGCACCUACAACGAAGUGUUGCCUCGAUUGCAUUCGCAGGGACAAGCAUUUGCGCUUAGCCCUCAACGUGGAGCGCCGUCGCCUUCACAUGGAUGCAAGUGGACCGCAAAUCAACCAUUCGCCAGCGGCAAUGUAUAACUCAUUCCUCGGUGCUGGAACACACGUCUGGAAUGCACGCUCAGCACAGCGCUGUCAGUGGCAGACGGCCUCCGGCGUCCCAGACGGACCGACUGACUCUUUAAAGCAAAGCACGGUGGACGACACGGCGCCGCCCCAGCGGCCGCCACGUAUCCUUCUUCGCAACGACUCCGCGACCGCAGCACGAAUAUCGAGACGCGUCCGACUCCCCCUAGACGAGAGUGGUCGAGCAUCUUUCUGCGUACCGUACAAGAAUGCGAAGUUUGGCUUCGUUGAGCAGCAUAACGUUUUGAGAGAACACAGCGCUAAGUUAUGUACAGGAAGUCGAAACAGAAAGGCGUUAUCAACUGGUGGGCUCUUCACAUAAAAAUAUACUUAUACAA